rnacentral:rRNA from 1 species
CCUACGGGCGGCAGCAGUGAGGAAUAUUGGUCAAUGGGAGAGAUCCUGAACCAGCCAAGCCGCGUGCGGGAAGACGGCUCUAUGGGUUGUAAACCUCUUUUGUAGGAGAAUAAAACGCGGUACGUGUAGCGGUUUGCGUGUAUGCGAAGAAUAAGCAUCGGCUAACUCCGUGCCAGCAGCCGCGGUAAUACGGAGGAUGCGAGCGUUAUCCGGUUUUAUUGGGUUUAAAGGGUGCGUAGGGCGUCCGUUAAGUUCGCGGUAAAAUACCGGUGGUCAACACCCGCGCAGCCGUUGAUACUGGCAGACUAGAGUUCGCAUGAAGCACGCGGAAUGGGCGGUGUAGCGGUGAAAUGCAUAGAUAUUGCACAGAACUCCGAUUGCGAAGGCAGCUUACCAGGCCCAGACUGACGCUGAGGCACGAAAGCGUGGGGAUCGAACAGGAUUAGAUACCCGAGUAGUC